UACGGGAGGUAGCAGUGGGGAAUAUUGCACAAUGGGCGCAAGCCUGAUGCAGCCAUGCCGCGUGUAUGAAAAAGGCCUUCGGGUUGUAAAGUACUUUCAGUCGUGAGGAAGGUGUUAAGGUUAAUAACCUUAGCAAUUGACGUUAGCGACAGAAGAAGCACCGGCUAACUCCGUGCCAGCAGCCGCGGUAAUACGGAGGGUGCGAGCGUUAAUCGGAAUUACUGGGCGUAAAGGGCACGCAGGCGGUUAAUUAAGUUGGAUGUGAAAUCCCCGGGCUUAACCUGGGAAUGGCAUUCAAGACUGGUUAGCUAGAGUCUUGUAGAGGGGGGUAGAAUUCCAUGUGUAGCGGUGAAAUGCGUAGAGAUGUGGAGGAAUACCGGUGGCGAAGGCGGCCCCUGGACAAAGACUGACGCUCAUGUGCGAAAGCGUGGGGAGCGAAACAGGGAUUAGGAUACC
rnacentral:rRNA from 1 species